UACGUAGGGGGCAAGCGUUGUCCGGAAUCAUUGGGCGUAAAGCGCGUGUAGGCGGCUCGAUAAGUCUGCUGUGAAAGUCCAGGGCUCAACCCUGGAAUGCCGGUGGAAACUGUCGAGCUAGAGUCCGGAAGAGGCGAGUGGAAUUCCUGGUGUAGCGGUGAAAUGCACAGAUAUCAGGAGGAACACCAAUGGCGAAGGCAGCUCGCUGGGACGGUACUGACGCUGAGACGCGAAAGCGUGGGGAGCAAACAGG
rnacentral:rRNA from 1 species